UUAAGCGACUAAGCGUACACGGUGGAUGCCCUGGCAGUCAGAGGCGAUGAAGGACGUGCUAAUCUGCGAUAAGCGUCGGUAAGGUGAUAUGAACCGUUAUAACCGGCGAUUUCCGAAUGGGGAAACCCAGUGUGAUUCGUCACACUAUCAUUAACUGAAUCCAUAGGUUAAUGAGGCGAACCGGGGGAACUGAAACAUCUAAGUACCCCGAGGAAAAGAAAUCAACCGAGAUUCCCCCAGUAGCGGCGAGCGAACGGGGAGGAGCCCAGAGCCUGAAUCAGUGUGUGUGUUAGUGGAAGCGUCUGGAAAGGCGCGCGAUACAGGGUGACAGCCCCGUACACAAAAAUGCACAUACUGUGAGCUCGAUGAGUAGGGCGGGACACGUGGUAUCCUGUCUGAAUAUGGGGGGACCAUCCUCCAAGGCUAAAUACUCCUGACUGACCGAUAGUGAACCAGUACCGUGAGGGAAAGGCGAAAAGAACCCCGGCGAGGGGAGUGAAAAAGAACCUGAAACCGUGUACGUACAAGCAGUGGGAGCCUCUUUAUGGGGUGACUGCGUACCUUUUGUAUAAUGGGUCAGCGACUUAUAUUCUGUAGCAAGGUUAACCGAAUAGGGGAGCCGAAGGGAAACCGAGUCUUAACUGGGCGUUAAGUUGCAGGGUAUAGACCCGAAACCCGGUGAUCUAGCCAUGGGCAGGUUGAAGGUUGGGUAACACUAACUGGAGGACCGAACCGACUAAUGUUGAAAAAUUAGCGGAUGACUUGUGGCUGGGGGUGAAAGGCCAAUCAAACCGGGAGAUAGCUGGUUCUCCCCGAAAGCUAUUUAGGUAGCGCCUCGUGAAUUCAUCUCCGGGGGUAGAGCACUGUUUCGGCAAGGGGGUCAUCCCGACUUACCAACCCGAUGCAAACUGCGAAUACCGGAGAAUGUUAUCACGGGAGACACACGGCGGGUGCUAACGUCCGUCGUGAAGAGGGAAACAACCCAGACCGCCAGCUAAGGUCCCAAAGUCAUGGUUAAGUGGGAAACGAUGUGGGAAGGCCCAGACAGCCAGGAUGUUGGCUUAGAAGCAGCCAUCAUUUAAAGAAAGCGUAAUAGCUCACUGGUCGAGUCGGCCUGCGCGGAAGAUGUAACGGGGCUAAACCAUGCACCGAAGCUGCGGCAGCGACACUGUGUGUUGUUGGGUAGGGGAGCGUUCUGUAAGCCUGUGAAGGUGUGCUGUGAGGCAUGCUGGAGGUAUCAGAAGUGCGAAUGCUGACAUAAGUAACGAUAAAGCGGGUGAAAAGCCCGCUCGCCGGAAGACCAAGGGUUCCUGUCCAACGUUAAUCGGGGCAGGGUGAGUCGACCCCUAAGGCGAGGCCGAAAGGCGUAGUCGAUGGGAAACAGGUUAAUAUUCCUGUACUUGGUGUUACUGCGAAGGGGGGACGGAGAAGGCUAUGUUGGCCGGGCGACGGUUGUCCCGGUUUAAGCGUGUAGGCUGGUUUUCCAGGCAAAUCCGGAAAAUCAAGGCUGAGGCGUGAUGACGAGGCACUACGGUGCUGAAGUGACAAAUGCCCUGCUUCCAGGAAAAGCCUCUAAGCAUCAGGUAACAACAAAUCGUACCCCAAACCGACACAGGUGGUCAGGUAGAGAAUACCAAGGCGCUUGAGAGAACUCGGGUGAAGGAACUAGGCAAAAUGGUGCCGUAACUUCGGGAGAAGGCACGCUGAUAUGUAGGUGAAGCGACUUGCUCGUGGAGCUGAAAUCAGUCGAAGAUACCAGCUGGCUGCAACUGUUUAUUAAAAACACAGCACUGUGCAAACACGAAAGUGGACGUAUACGGUGUGACGCCUGCCCGGUGCCGGAAGGUUAAUUGAUGGGGUUAGCGGUAACGCGAAGCUCUUGAUCGAAGCCCCGGUAAACGGCGGCCGUAACUAUAACGGUCCUAAGGUAGCGAAAUUCCUUGUCGGGUAAGUUCCGACCUGCACGAAUGGCGUAAUGAUGGCCAGGCUGUCUCCACCCGAGACUCAGUGAAAUUGAACUCGCUGUGAAGAUGCAGUGUACCCGCGGCAAGACGGAAAGACCCCGUGAACCUUUACUAUAGCUUGACACUGAACAUUGAGCCUUGAUGUGUAGGAUAGGUGGGAGGCUUAGAAGUGUGGACGCCAGUCUGCAUGGAGCCGACCUUGAAAUACCACCCUUUAAUGUUUGAUGUUCUAACGUUGGCCCCUUAUCGGGGUUGCGGACAGUGUCUGGUGGGUAGUUUGACUGGGGCGGUCUCCUCCUAAAGAGUAACGGAGGAGCACGAAGGUUGGCUAAUCCUGGUCGGACAUCAGGAGGUUAGUGCAAUGGCAUAAGCCAGCUUGACUGCGAGCGUGACGGCGCGAGCAGGUGCGAAAGCAGGUCAUAGUGAUCCGGUGGUUCUGAAUGGAAGGGCCAUCGCUCAACGGAUAAAAGGUACUCCGGGGAUAACAGGCUGAUACCGCCCAAGAGUUCAUAUCGACGGCGGUGUUUGGCACCUCGAUGUCGGCUCAUCACAUCCUGGGGCUGAAGUAGGUCCCAAGGGUAUGGCUGUUCGCCAUUUAAAGUGGUACGCGAGCUGGGUUUAGAACGUCGUGAGACAGUUCGGUCCCUAUCUGCCGUGGGCGCUGGAGAACUGAGGGGGGCUGCUCCUAGUACGAGAGGACCGGAGUGGACGCAUCACUGGUGUUCGGGUUGUCAUGCCAAUGGCACUGCCCGGUAGCUAAAUGCGGAAGAGAUAAGUGCUGAAAGCAUCUAAGCACGAAACUUGCCCCGAGAUGAGUUCUCCCUGACCCUUUAAGGGUCCUGAAGGAACGUUGAAGACGACGACGUUGAUAGGCCGGGUGUGUAAGCGCAGCGAUGCGUUGAGCUAACCGGUACUAAUGAACCGUGAGGCUUAACCUU
rnacentral:rRNA from 1 species